CACAGGGCCAGGUCGGUGUGAUUGGGGUUGCAGGACCUGCUGGAGCCAGAGGACAAAUUGGUGAAGCAGGCAUCCUAGGUCCACCCGGGUUAGCUGGCCCUGAGGGAGAGAAGGGGGAUCCAGGACCAAGUGGACUGAUUGGCCCAGCUGGUGUGGCUGGAUUGGAGGGCGUCCCUGGGGAAGGUGGAAGAAAAGGAGAGCGAGGCAAGCCAGGACCUGCCGGUGCAGCAGGCUCCAGGGGUGACAGUGGGAGCCAAGGACUCAAGGGCUUUGGUGGGCCUGAAGGACCCAAAGGAGAUGCAGGGGGAAAAGGAGAGACUGGCCAUCAGGGUUCUCGUGGGCCACCUGGAGAAGUGGGAGCAGCAGGGCUAAGUGG